rnacentral:lncRNA from 1 species
GGGUGGCGGCGCUAGGGCAACAAUGCUCGGUGCGGCGCUAGGGAAACAAUGAGAAGAUGAAUGGCUCGGGCGCAUUAGCUCGGGUAAAUGGAAGGGAUAAGAUUCCUCUGAUAUUUAUAACCGUGGCACAGGUAACCGAGCGGCGAGAAUUACGGGGAAUAUUCCAUUUUUAAAGCCAUCGGUUAUCGCCGGAACGGUUACCAAUAUUUUUGGAAGAGAUAAGAUUUCUGAAGAUAAAUGAUCACAUGGACCAAUUGUUGACGCUUAUACCCAAACUAGUCGUGGAACGGCUCAGGGGCUGUGUGCCACGUGCCCGUUGGACAAAAAAAAAUUUCUCUGGGUUUUAAGGGGAAAAAGAUGUGAAAUUAUAAGAUUGACUCCCAACCUGAUUCUUCGAUUCAACAUAAGACUCAGGGGCUACUCUAUAUGGAGUGCGAUUUUCAUCACACUUCCA